ensembl:lncRNA
CGGGGAUUUGGGACGGCUGAAGGACUCGGGGCCCCCACCGCCUCAGCGCUGCUGCCCGCAUCCGGGCCGGGCCCCCUCGAGCCUCCAGCGCUGCUCCCGGUGCCCCCCGGGGCUGAGGUGGUCUGUGGGUGUAGGGGCAGUGGGGGAGAUGUGGUGGGGAUGUGGGAGCUGAGAGGGCUCUAGGGUAAUGUGGGGCCGUGGGGGGCUGUAGGGGUGGCUCUUGGGGGCUGUGGGACUGUGGGGGGUUACAGGAGGUUUUGGUUCAGCAUCUCCUGAUGUGUCACACACAUUUCCAGAGGUCGCUCACUGAAAGUGCUGAAUUAAGAUGGUGAAUUUUGCUGGACAGAGCAGAGCGCUUGUCUAAUGAAACCUCUGAAGUGCCAGGUUUGUUCUGCAGGCCCCGAUGAUGGCCCAGGCAUGAAAGAGCCCAGAGCUCGUCGCUGGGGAAAGGCUGCGUAUGGCGUUGUGAAGGGAGAGGUGGAGGAGGGCUUUGAGCAGCACUGUGCAGGAAUGAUCGGCUGGUAAGUGAAGAGGUGUGUGUGCUGAGAGCAAGGGCUGUACGGCUCAUCUCUGUGUUGUCACUGGAAAUGCCCGGCAGAGCUCCUUGCUCUCUGUUCUUUCUUGCAAGGCUGUGGCGCUUCAAAGUGCGCUGUGGGUGGGGAGCACGAUGACAGCCCAAGGGUGGCACCAGGAGAUGCAGCACAGCCCUCUCCAGCAGCAGGGUGCAUUAAUUGGUCUUGCUAAUUCUUCACGGAGAAGGUGUGUUUAGCUGCCAAAGUCGGUGGCUCGAUAGCAUGUUCUGAAGCAUGUUCUGAAUGGUUUGGGGCCCUUCCCCUAUUACUCACGUCCUAAGGCAGUGAAGGACUUCCCUCACUCCGUAGGAACGGUUCCUGUGCAAGGGCAUGGCCGUCUGCCUGUAACAGAUACUGAAGGGGAUGGUUGUGUGACUGCCGUGAUGGAGUUGGCUUUUGAAUGUCAACUGCACCCCAUUAACGUGCAGCUCUUUCUGACCCAGGCAGGAGCUGGGCAGCGGUACUGCAGCUCGUCUGGCAGCUUUGCAGCUGAGUUUGGAAGUAGAAGAUGUGGCUGUGAAAGAAGAAGUCAGUUGCUGGGACGUCCCCCUGUUCUUCCCCUAGCUGUCCCCUUGCCUCAGCCUGAAUUCUUCUUGCAUUCCUGUAGGAUUCCCUUCUAUCCUCCUGGUUGUCCCUUGCUUUCCCCAAGGUUGCUCUUUGCUUUCCCAUGACAGCCCACCCAUCAUUCUCUCAAAGCCCCAAUAUCCACCCCAGUGUUUCCCCAGUAAGACUCCUAGAGACGCCCUGUAGCCCCCCACAGAGCCCCAUACACCCUCUAGGACCUCCUCAGACCCGGUACGCCUCUCCCGUAGAUGGCCCAUACGCACACGGAGCCCCACAGUCCCCAGCAUCUCCCCAUGUCCCCCACUGGCCUCCUGCAGAACCCCCGUGUUUCCUCUAUUUCCUCCUUCUGACCUCCUUUCCCACCUCCAAGACCCCAACCCCGGAAUCUCACCGAUUCCCACAGUCCCUGACAGGACCCCUGUCACCAUCCCAGGAACUCCAUAGUGCACCUGAGGGCCCUCCUCAGCCCCAUCCCCAUCAAGCUCUCGUACAGCCAUAGGGUGCUGGGGCAGGGGUGGCUGCUGCAGGAGAGGAAUGUGGGGCUGGAGCAGGUGCAGGGCACAGCUGUGGGUGAAAGGGAUGUGAGGGGCACUGUGGGUCCAGGAACGUAGGGGUUGUGGGGGCACGUGGGGAGCGGUUUGGGGUGAGAAUGGAGGAUGUGCGGUGGUGUUGGCGUGCACUGGUUGAUUUCUUCCUCAGAGGGGAUUGGGGUUCCCUGUGGCCCAAAGGUGGAGCCCUGAUCCAUAACCCCACGUGAGCCCAGAACGCCAUAUAACUCGGCGUGAGCCCAAGGCUCCACAUGACCCCUAACCGUGUGAGCACCGUAAGCCCAUAUGAAGCUGAGGGCAGUGAUGGGUCUGUUACUGGCUAGGUCAGGAAGUACUCUAGGGUGGCUCUGGGGCCACUGUAGAAGAGCACUCUACAUCUGCCCCUGACCGUCAUCUAGCCCACAUCUUGGCGGGUAAGAUGGGGGUGCAGGGGUUAGUGGAGGGCUAAGGAAGAGAUUCCAUGAGUAUGAACCAUAGCAGCCCCAGAGCCAUCCUAGAGCAGCGCCAUCACUGCCCACGGCCCAUGGCCAGCAGCAGUUCCACCACAAGCUGUGUGUUGGGUCAAGGCAGCUCCUAGGUGUGGCUCUGCCCCAUAGCUGCCCCAAAGUGCCCCUGUACCCCUCCCAUAGGCGUCCUUUAACUGCCCCACCACCCCGUACGGCUUCCCCACGUCCUAGCACAUCCCCCCACGUGCGUGUGGGGUGUGCAAGAAACGCUCUCAUCCCUGAUGUUCCAUCAGGCACAGCUCUCUGUGCAACAGCAAAGCUCCUUCCUGAUUGCUGUGGCGUUACUUCACUCUCCUCAGUGAGUUCCUUCUGCUCCCGUUGGGUUGGUUGAGUUGGGUUGGUUGGGUUGAGGUGGGGGCAGGGAUCCCAGAGUUCUGGGGCCACAUGGCAUCGGGUCGCAGCGUGUUGGGGGCAGGAAGGGUCAGGGAGUCACAGGGUCUUGUGGGGGUGUGGUUCACCCAGGGCUGUGGGUCACGUAUAGCCAUGGGGUCAUGCACAUACAGGGUGAUGAGAUCAUCUUGGCUUAAGGCUCAUGUGGGGUUACGGCUCAGGGCCCCACCUUUGGGCUGCAUGGACCCCCAGUCCCCUCUCAGGAAGAAAUGAAACCCCUCCUACACCGCUGCCCCCUUCCCCCCUUUUUUUUUUUUACCUCAAACUGCUCCCCACAUCCUCCCAUAGCACCCCAUACUCCCGCGUCCCUCUUGCAGCCCACAUCUUGUCUUCUCCUGAACAGCAUUCUGCUCCUGCAGGCUGUGUUGUCAUAUCCAUUCUAUAUCCCCCACAACCUCUCCCACAGACCCACAUAGCUCCUCAAGUACUUUCUCUGACCGGGUACACCUCCCCCACCGCCAACCUGGGACCUCGCAGAGCCCCACAGUCCCCAGCAGCACCCCACGUCCCCCACGGUUCUUCAAGGAUCCCUCCGAUUUGAGGGAGGCUCAGACCUCCCUUUAUGCCUCAGACCCCUCCUGUGUUCUCCGACUCCCACAGUCCCUGACAGGACCCCCAUCACCAUCCCAGGACCCCCAUAGCCCACUGAUGAGGAACCUCGCAGCAAUCCACAUCUCAGGAUGGGCCUCCAGCUGUGCCCCAAUGCCUGCAUUAAAGAGAGGAGAAUGAAUGAGCGUAACGGGGCACCUUUCCUCCUGACAUUACCAACUGCCUGCGUGUUGGCUGUGCCACGUGAGCGGCAUUUUGUCCUCGAGCUGUGAGUGCAGGUGACCAAGAUGCUGGCUGUCGUGGUGGUCCUCUUUGCCCUUCUGUGGCUGCCAUACCGCACACUGGUGGUGGUGAAGUCCUUUGAGGACCCCCCCGUACCUCAACAUUUGGUUCCUCCUCUUCUGCCGGAUGUGCAUCUACCUGAACAGUGCCAUCAACC